rnacentral:rRNA from 1 species
UACGAAGGGUGCAAGCGUUGUUCGGAAUUACUGGGCGUAAAGCGCGCGUAGGCGGGUCGGUAUGUCGAUUGUGAAAGCCCUGGGCUCAACCUGGGAAUUGCAGUCGAAACUGCCGAUCUUGAGUGCCUAAGAGGAUGGCGGAAUUCCCGGUGUAGUAGUGAAAUACGUAGAUAUCGGGAAGAACACCUGAGGCGAAGGCGGCUGUCUGGUGGUGCACUGACGCUGAGGCGCGAAAGCGUGGGGAGCAAACAG